GAAUGGCUAUUAGGGUCCACCAGAAUAAAAUAAUAAUCAAAGGGGGUCCAUAGAUAAGAAAUGGUUGAGAACCCCUGCUUUAGGUGUAUGUAUUGGUUUUGUAUUGCAAGAAAGAGCUGGGUUUCUUUCUCUAACAUUUUACAUUGUUCAACCUACACAAGUUAAUGUGUGAAAAACAAAAUAGGAAUUUUGAAAGAAGUUUCUAU